UUUUUCCUCUCCUCUCCACACACACACAUACUCAGUCUCUUCCACCGAAACAGCAGCCCCCAACCUCCAUUUCUCUUCUUUUCUCCUUCUUUGCUCUCUCUUCUCUUCCCAUCUUCAUGGUGAAAGCUUGGUUUGGUAUAGGUAUGGACUAGAAUUUCGUGGAGAAGGCAUAGAAUAUGGGUUUGAAGGGCUGAAAUUUUAGGUGUGGCUUGGGCUUUACUUCAAAUCAAGUCCUCCAUCAUUUGUGAGCUUUGGGUAGCAAUUUUUGGGUGUUAGGACCUCCAAUCUACCGAUUAUUCAAAGCUAUUCAUUGCGCAACCUUGGGUGAGAAUAAUCCCACAAAGCCACGGAUCUUGCAAGAAGAUGUGGCUAACAGGUACAGGUGAUGCGGAGGAUGACUUUGUUGCAAACUACUUGGAG